AGAUCUUGUCGUCGCGGUACUGGUUGACGAAGGCGGCCGUGCCCGAGGAGUUGCACGCCACCAUGUGGAAGCCGGCCUCGGACAGGCGGUCGAAAGCCUGCUCCAAAUGAAUAAAAAUAUUGCCUCAAACCACCACUAAUGAAGCCCAUUCAUCAUGAGAUGAUAUUCAGGGGAAACUCCUGGCUCUGUACUCAAGGGUCACUCCUGAUCAUCAAGUCACAGCCUUGUCAUCGAUCUCUGAACAAGAUCGGCUCCACAGAUUACUUCUGUGAAAAGCAGCUUGGAUCUUCUGUCCUCCUUCAAGUGAAGGAGAAGGUUUACUCUCGGAACAGGCCAUCAUUGCCAACAGCAAAACCAAAUAUAAGAUGGAAAGAGUGUGUAGAGAUUCACCAGUUGGCAAGGAAUCAGAAAAGAUUGAAAAGUAGAGGAGAAAAAUUGGUUCACCCCCAACUAUCUCAAAGCAGUUUUGAGAGUUUCUGUAAUUUGUGAAUUGAAAGGCUUUGUAAAUGAGAUAUUUAGGACACCAGAGCAUCAUAACUUCAUGCAUAUGUUAUAAAGUAUAUGCAAGAACUCAAAUGUCUUAUUACAAUAGCAAUGCUAGUUCUAAUUGACAGCUUUUAUAGAGCAUGAUGAAAGAUUUACAAAAUUUAAUA